GUGGGGAAUUUUGCGCAAUGGGCGAAAGCCUGACGCAGCAACGCCGCGUGGAGGAUGAAGGUUCUCUGAAUCGUAAACUCCUGUCGGCCGGGACGAAUGGACGGGAUGCUAAUCAGUUCCGUCUUGACUGUACCGGCAAAGGAAGCCCCGGCUAACUCCGUGCCAGCAGCCGCGGUAAUACGGAGGGGGCAAGCGUUACUCGGAAUUAUUGGGCGUAAAGGGCGCGUAGGCGGUCCCGCACGUCGGAGGUGAAAUCCCCGGGCUCAACCCGGGAGCUGCCUCCGAUACGGCGGGGCUUGAGUCCGGGAGAGGGGAGCAGAAUUCCCAGUGUAGCGGUGAAAUGCGUAGAUAUUGGGAGGAAUACCGGUGGCGAAGGCGGCUCCCUGGACCGGUACUGACGCUGAGGCGCGAAAGCGUGGGUAGCAAACAGGAUUAGAAACCCCAGUAGUCC
rnacentral:rRNA from 1 species